UGAGCAAUCUGCCCUUCUCAUCGGAAUAAGCGUUGGAAACGACGUCUAAUGCCGAAUACGACCUCCUUUCGCAUGAUCGGAGGUGGAAAGCUCCGGCGGAGAAGGAUGAGCUCGCGGCCUAUCAGCUAGUUGGUGUGGGUAAUGGCCCACUAAGGCGACGACGGGCAGCCGGCCUGAGAGGGUGACCGGCCACACUGGGACUGAGACACGGCCCAGACUCCGUAGGGAG
rnacentral:rRNA from 1 species